AACGAACGCUAGCGGCAGGCUUAAUACAUGCAAGUCGAGGGGCAGCAUGAAUGUAGCAAUACAUUUGAUGGCGACCGGCAAACGGGUUCGGAACACGUACACAACCUUCCUAUAAGUGGGGAAUAGCCCAGAGAAAUUUGGAUUAAUACCCCGUAACAUAAUGAUGUGGCAUCACAUUAUUAUUAUAGCUCCGGCGCUUAUUGAUGGGUGUGCGGCUGAUUAGAUAGUUGGCGGGGUAACGGCCCACCAAGUCUACGAGCAGUAGCUUAUGUGAGAGCAUGAUCAGCCACACGGGCACUGAGUCACGGGCCCGACUCCUACGGGAGGCAGCAGUAAGGAAUAUUGGUCAAUGGACGCAAGUCUGAACCAGCCAUGCCGCGUGAAGGAUUAAGGUCCUCUGGAUUGUAAACUUCUUUUAUCUGGGACGAAAAAAGGCUAUUCUUAGUCACUUGACGGUACCAGAUGAAUAAGCACCGGCUAACUCCGUGCCAGCAGCCGCGGUAACAC
rnacentral:rRNA from 1 species